rnacentral:rRNA from 1 species
GAGAGUGUUGGGUUAAGUCCCGUAACGAGCGCAACCCUUGUCCUUAGUUACCAGCACGUUAUGGUGGGCACUCUAAGGAGACUGCCGGUGACAAACCGGAGGAAGGUGGGGAUGACGUCAAGUCAUCAUGGCCCUUACGGCCUGGGCUACACACGUGCUACAAUGGUCGGUACAAAGGGUUGCCAAGCCGCGAGGUGGAGCUAAUCCCAUAAAACCGAUCGUAGUCCGGAUCGCAGUCUGCAACUCGACUGCGUGAAGUCGGAAUCGCUAGUAAUCGUGAAUCAGAAUGUCACGGUGAAUACGUUCCCGGGCCUU